UCGGCCAUUUUUUUUUUGGUUAAUCACGUGUUACAAAUACAAUUGUAACAAACACACGCCAAUACUUUGUCGUAUUUAACCAGGAAAUACUGACUCAGACAGUUCUUAUUUAAAAUAAAUAUACAUGUAAAAAGUAUACUAUUCGGUAAAAAAUGAUAAUUUUGAUUAAACAUCAUUCAUUUUAAACUAUCCCAAGAUGCACUUUUCCAAGAUUUAGCGGGUUCUGAUUGGUCAGUAUUGGCGCACUUUAUGAUUCCGAGCGAAGGUUAAAAUGGACAAGAAGGUGCUGUUGUAAAAUGGAGAAUUGAGAAGCAUUAAUAGCCUCUAUAACAAGGAGAUAAUGCAGGAACGAAGAACUCAUGUCAAGCAUUGACAGCAUACAAAGUCAAUGUUUCCGGUGAUAAGUUGCAUCCUCUGUUCGGUGAUUCGGGUGAAUGUUUUGACCAGCUGGACGAUGUGAACGCAAGGUAUUGCUUUGAAAUUGAUUAUUUUCACCAUUAACUUAUACAUGUGUUGGAUGUUUAUAAUUUACUGUAGUAAUUUUUGGGAAAUCCAGGUCUAAGUUCUUGAAAAGGAGGUUGAUGAUGGGGGGGGGGGGGGGGGGGUAAAACACACUUAUUGUUGAUAAGUUUUUCCAUUGUUCAACAAACAAUAAUUGAAUCAAAAUGAAAAUAACAUAGCUUCAAACAUAAAAUGAAACAUUUUAGACCAGAUACUACUGUAGUCAUUAUAUGACAUAGUUUAAACAGCAACUGGCAACUGCAUAGUAGCUUCUGUAUUCAGAAUUUUAUUCAGAAUGCUUUUAUUACAUGUUAGGCUGAAUGACUUAUGUUUAUUGUUUAAAAAUCUAAAUGAAACUUUAUUAUUCAUGUUUAAGAUAAAUAGAACACAUAAAGUACAGCCCAGUGAAACAAACAAGUUCAUCGCAAGAAGAAGAAUUUUAAUGCUACCACUGUCCAGAACUACUAAAUCUGCUGUAGCCAUGAUGUGAUCAUAUGAGUGCUUCGCCGGUCUGGACAAUGCUCGAAAGUCCCCCAAAAAGGCCUAUUUCCAUAAACUACGACUCGGGUUACAUCAACAACAGCCAAGGACACUCCUUAUUGAUUCGAAUGGACACAUCUCUACGACCCGACUAAACCUCUGCAGAACAAGACUUUUUAACUGUAAAGUAUUCUCAUUUCAAAAAACCUAUAAACUAUAAAAGUACUUUUUUUAUAUGAUCAAAUACCAGUAUAUUACAAUGUCUGUCUGUAAGCUAGAAUCUUAGAAAAUCACAUGGUUUUGACUUAUUAAAUGAUUGAUUAGACCUUGCAGAUAUUAACUUUCAUUUUCUUAAAUAAUUUGUUAUAUUUGCAAAUAUUGCAUAAAAUAUUAGACUCCAUGUAACAUAUAUCCUCAUACCUCCAAGUUGAUAAGUGUUAACUACUUUUUUUUUUUCAUUUUCUUUGUUUAAACAUUUAUUGAUAACUUAGUUUUUAUUUGCAGCAAUAUAUGAAAAAUUAAGAAACCAAUCUUAAAUGUAAAAACACUGCAUUAGGAGAUGAAUGCAUGGGUCAUGGAAAUGAUAAAAUACACCAAACAAUAUUCAAUUAUGUCGUAUAUGAAAAUAUAUAAAGACAACAUAUACCCGAUGUAUUACAAUUUUUAUAUAACAAAAUUACUUGGAUGGAAAGUUGUUUCCAUGUGGGUUUUAUUUUAAUCUGUAUUGUGUAACUAAAAUAUAAUUGGAAUUAGCUUUUAUAUCAUAAGUAAAAUGCUGGUAUUGAUGAGAAUUGUAAGGUGAAUGAUCUGUGUGAUACUUUGUAUUUUAUACAUUUAUGCUACAUGUAGUAAUACUUGUCAUAUAUAAACAAUGUAUAUUUUACUUCAUGUCUUGGAUUUAAAAAUAUUAAUGUAGGUAAAGUAGUGAAAUGUAGGAAGGUAAACCGUGUGUAAAGAAGCAUAUUCAUCAGGAAUGAAGUGUGUUGCAAUCAGCAUAAUUAAUUAAAUGUGUACAUCAUAUUUUUGCACAUGAUUUGACAGACUGCUCCAUUGUUAGCUUUUUAUUGGCCAACAAGCUUUUCAUAUCUCCCUCUGGGUCAUCUAUUAAAUACUGACAGGCUUAUGAUAUUAAAAUCUGAUCAGUUGGUACAUCAUGGGUGGAAAUGAAAAGUUCACUUUGGACUUAAUGGAUUAUCAAAAAAAUGAUAUCAAAUCCUGUUCUAUUGUAAAACAUUAGA